rnacentral:rRNA from 1 species
AUACGGAGGGUGCAAGCGUUACUCGGAAUCACUGGGCGUAAAGCGCGCGCAGGCGGCUUGGUAAGUUGGAUGUGAAAGCCUACGGCUCAACCGUAGAACUGCAUCCAAAACUGUCAAGCUAGAGUGUGGGAGAGGAAGAUGGAAUUAGUUGUGUAGGGGUAAAAUCCGUAGAGAUAACUAGGAAUACCAAAAGCGAAGGCAAUUUUCUGGAACACUACUGACGCUGAGGCGCGAAAGCGUGGGGAGCAAACAGGAUUAGAAACCCUAGUAGUCC